rfam:Marine metagenome 1096626349277, whole genome shotgun sequence.
UUCAAAAGGAAUCGCCAUCCGUCAACGAGGGUUCGUCCACGGAUGCUUUUGUU